GAUGCAGCAGUGAGGAAUAUUGGUCAAUGGGCGCAAGCCUGAACCAGCCAUCCCGCGUGCAGGAUGAAGGCCCUAUGGGUCGUAAACUGCUUUUAUACACCAAGAAAAACACCCACGUGUGGGUGCCCGACGGUAGUGUAUGAAUAAGCAUCGGCUAACUCCGUGCCAGCAGCCGCGGUAAUACGGAGGAUGCAAGCGUUAUCCGGAUUCAUUGGGUUUAAAGGGUGCGUAGGCGGCUUUUUAAGUCAGUGGUGAAAUCUUGCCGCUUAACGGUAAAAUUGCCAUUGAUACUGAUAAGCUUGAGUACAAUUGAGGUAAGCGGAAUGUGUAGUGUAGCGGUGAAAUGCUUAGAUAUUACACAGAACACCAAUUGCGAAGGCAGCUUACUAAACUGUUACUGACGCUGAUGCACGAAAGCGUGGGGAGCGAACAGGAUUAGAUACCCUGGUAGUCCACGCCGUAAACGAUGAUCACUCGCUGUAUGCGAUACACAGUAUGCGGCCAAGCGAAAGCAUUAAGUGAUCCACCUGGGGAGUACGAUCGCAAGGUUGAAACUCAAAGGAAUUGACGGGGGCCCGCACAAGCGGAGGAACAUGUGGUUUAAUUCGAUGAUACGCGAGGAACCUUACCUGGGCUUAAAUGGGGAACGACAGCUGCCGAAAGGUGGCCUUCUUCGGACGUUCUUCAAGGUGCUGCAUGGUUGUCGUCAGCUCGUGCCGUGAGGUGUCGGGUUAAGUCCCAUAACGAGCGCAACCCUUAUCGUUAGUUGCCAGCGGGUCAUGCCGGGGACUCUAGCGAGACUGCCACCGUAAGGUGUGAGGAAGGUGGGGAUGACGUCAAAUCAGCACGGCCCUUAUGUCCAGGGCUACACACGUGUUACAAUGGCCAAUACAAAGGGCAGCUACCGGGUGACCGGAUGCUAAUCUCUAAAGUUGGUCUCAGUUCGGAUCGAAGUCUGCAACCCGACUUCGUGAAGCUGGAUUCGCUAGUAAUCGCAUAUCAGCCAUGAUGCGGUGAAUACGUUCCCGGGCCUUGUACACACCGCC
rnacentral:rRNA from 1 species